UUGAGUUGUCUUCCCAGGGUGACUGUUGC
rnacentral:piRNA from 1 species